UAUAAUAUAAGUAGCCCGAAGUGUAGCUAGAGGUAGCUGUAAAUCAAAGGGUUUGGUUGCUGCAUUGUGGAUUAGCGAGUCCAUCACUAUUGUAAUCCUAGUUGAAAAAACUCAUUUACGUUAUACUGCUCAAUAAGGGUCAGAGUUGAUAUCCCUGGGAUGUUUAGAUUUGAUGUCACUUUUUUAAGAUACAGUUAAAUACUUGUAAAAGCCAGAAAAUGUUUACACUAAUUUCUUUUGCAGUUUUGAGGCAGCAUUUUUGGCUUUGUAACUGGAGUUGUUAGCACCGCUACAGUUGCGAUAACAACGUUUCUGGUGCAUAUUCACCUCUUCUGUUUUCUGGCACUGUUGUGGAAGUUUCAAAGUAAGAGUUUUCUUUAAAAAAUUUGGGUCAAUCUUCCAUUUAUGUGAACUUACCUAAGUAACAACAUGUGGUCAGCAUAGAUAUGCUCAACUUUUUGUAUUCCCAAACUGGUAUCUCUAAAGAGCAUAUUUAUCAAACUGUGUGUUUAAAAAAUUGGAGUUAGAAUACACCACACAGCACCAUUCCUUGCAACACUGUAUACAAUCAUAUGUAUUUAUCAGGCUUGCUAAUGGAUGUGAAAGUGAGUGUUAGACUAGGGCCACACGACACAAUGAAUCCACUGCUACUCUUCUUUUGUUCUGCUGCACUGCAGGUGUGGCAGAUUUUGGAGCAAAAUGCAAAAUGUUGAUUUUUGGAUGAAUCCUUUUAUUGAUGCUGUAUGUAUAUUUUGACCCUGAAGUUAAUUUUUAUGCAUUGAAUGAACACAAUGAUGGGGUAUUGUGGUCCAUAUAAAUAUCAGGCCACAUUCUGUGAGAAACUGCGGAGUUAUUUAGAAGCUAACCUUGCCUGGAUGCAGGAUGAGAUGGAGAAGGGCAGGACCAGGAAUACUGGCACCUUUCAGUUCAGUAGUUUUCAGAUUGUUAUUAUGGUUGAUGUUCUGCAUCUUUUUUUUUUAUUUUCAGUAUUCCCCAGUAUUACAUUUUCAAGAGCAAGGACCCUGUUCUAAAUGUGUCUUAGCCUUAUAACAGAGGAGUGCAACUUCAACUAACAUACUGUAUAUCUGGAGCUCUGAUGCAACCGUCUGCCUUGAAGAACCAGAGAUUAAAUUAAUUUAUCACCCACCCUCUCAUUUUCAUGUCUAAAUCCGGGUUCAGUGGCAUUGAGAGGGGGACCAACUGUGCCUGGCUGGGUUCAGACGUUUUCUUCUUAACCUGGUACCAUAGUCUCUGGAGAUGAUUUCUACCUGCUGAGCAGUGGCCUGGUGACCCUGGAAACUACUAUUAGAAACCGUAAUGAUGCUCUCUGGAAGUAUAUCAAGCCACAGGACUCUGUACUAGAGUGGCAUGCGUAAUAUUGUUGCUAACAGACUGGCAACAGGAGUGGUAUGGUGGCUGUAGCUGAUAAAUCGGAUGUACUCUACAAAACUGGUUACUGGGCCAGCUACAAUGUCCCUUAUUUUCCAGAGGUGUUUAAUGCCAGUGGUUUGCCUGCCCUGGUGGAGAAGUUUUGGGACUGGUUUUACUAUGACAAAACGCCACGGGCCCUGAUAUUCCAGAGAGACCAUUCUGAAAGAUAUGGAAUCAAUGGUGAAGCUAAUGAGGUAGAGAUAUUUUUGUAUUGGUUAUUUAACUAAAGGCAAGCUAGACAUGAGCAAAGUGUUCGCACAUUCAAUGAAUUGUGAAUACUCAUCUCUGCAGAAAAAAAACGGGAAAACUGCAUGCUUUUAAUGUAGAUAUUCAAUGCAGCUCUAAUGGUAAUGGAUCUGUUUUGUCUUGGAGUAGAGCAGGUAGUUUUGCUGAUGGCAUCACAGAUUCUCUUUAAAUAAACCACUUUCAACUCUCCAUAUGUCCUACCUGACUACCAUAUUAUUGUAUAGAUAGUAAUUUGUUUGCUUAAGACAUUCUACUUUCAAAACGUGUUCUAUACUAUGUUUGACAGUAUAUAAGAUUCAUGCAGCAAACGGCAAAGGGCACCCGAAGUCCAAAACAAAGGGCACUUAAUUUAUUGAUGUAGCUUAUGCUACUUUGUAAUAUAGGUUCUAUUUAAAUUUCUGUAAUUAUUUAUAAAUAAUUCUUUGCCAUUGGGUGAAAACAAGAAAGAUAUUAAAAUAAAAAGGACUGCAACAGGAAUGGCAGCCAACGGGAAAUAAGCAGGUGUUUUUGUCAGAAACUUCUGCUUAUUUGCCUUUUUUCUGAUGCUUUGCUUAGGAGACAGGAGUGGUGCUGGCUCUCUAGCAAAAUGGUUCCCAGCAAUUUUCAUGUUUUAACCCAGUAGCAGAGCAUGACUACUUGGAUUUCAAAAUCACUACAAAAAAAAAUAAUAAGCAUAUUGAAAAGUAGUAGUUGUAAUCCCCCACAAAAUGGAGAGAAUGCUAUCUCUGCCCGUUUUGAUCUUAAUUUAGUCAAUGGCAGUUACCCAUUUGGAGCUAUGUCCCAGCGGCAGCAGGGUGGCAUGAAUAUGAAGGUUUGUGAAGUCCAAGAUGAGGGCUAAAUGCACAGCUUGUUAGUUUUACACAUGGCCAGAUAUCUUCCAGUAAAUAAGAAGUGUGGGAGGGUAGUAUAUAUUACAUGUAAGAAAUCCUAGCACAGUGGCAAAUGUGCUGAAACUAGACAUUACACAUAAUAUACUCUUAAGUAAAAAGCUAGAUAAAAUAUAUUUUUCCCUAAAACUUUUCUUUUCAGUUGCACUGGAUUCAAUAUUUUCCUUAAAUUACAGCUUACAUCAUAUGAAAUGGCCAAGAAGUAUCAGAUGGUGGCAGUGAAUGAGCCCACAUGGGAUCAGGUUCCACCCUUUCAGUGGAGCACUUCUCCUUUCAGAAGCCUUAUGCAUAUAGUAGUUACAUAGUUAAAUUGGGUUGAAAAAAGACAAAGUCCAUCAAGUUCAACCCCUCCAAAUGAAAACCCAGCAUCCAUACAUACACCCCUCUCUACUUUUAAUUAAAUUCUAUAUACCCAUACCUAUGCUAACUAUAGAGCUUAAGUAUCACAAUAGCCUUUGAUAUUAUGUCUGUCCAAAAAAUCAUCCAAGCCAUUCUUAAAGGACACCCCGAUCUCUGGCAGUUCUCUCCAAUAACAAUCAGCUGGAACUGAAGCAAAGUCCCCAUCCACAGGUCAUUUUGCCUUCCUCAGCACUGUAUACAAGCAGAAACUGCUGUCUUUUCACAGGAUAUUCAUCCAAAACAUGAUCAUAACAUUUUGUUUAGGUGCCAGAGAUGCAACGUUUCCGAGGUUUAUGACUGAAAAACAUUUUAUUUGUAAAGGAUCUGCUCUCCCCCGCAACAUUUAGAAGUAUGACUCUUUUUGCUGAGCUGUGGGCAGUGUAUCUAAUUAUUUACAAGGCUACCGAAUGUUAGCUUUGUGGAACAAGGCACAUUAACUCAUUGUUAGCCCUUGUGAUGCUUUAGGGACAGGGUUUAAUGUCUUUAAAAACAUUAAUUUUACCCUUUCUUCUAGCAAACUAAUCUGAUCUUAUCUGAUAGAGAGAGACAACCACGUUAUAAAUUUAAAAUCAUGUUAUCUGUUCAAGCAAUACAGUGCAUGUAGGUAAAAUGCUAUACUAUAGUGUAGUGUAGACAAUUAGGCUUCUUCCUAAUAUUGAAAUUUGCAGGCAAUUGUGGUAAUUCGGCAGACUAGUUCGUCCCAUGGGUACUUCCUAGAGUGGCUUUGGAGUUCAGGGGUUGUCAUGCCUACUUGUCCAUGUGUCCAGUAUUUCAUAUUUCUGGAAUAAAUGGAUCUCCUCUUUGGUUUACUGCUUUUAGGGUGAUUCUGUAUUUUUCUGUCUUUCUGUGUUCAUAUAAGUCUGACUUUACUUGCUUUGAAUGAAAGGCUUCAAGCUGCACACACUUCAGUUUUGCUGCACUUGGCAUGUAAAUGCAUAUUUCUGGCCUUUCAGCACUUAAGUACUAUCUCGCUCAGAAUCCUCAACCUUUUUGCUUGGACUGAUUGGGGUUGUUCUUUAAACUGCUGAAGAAGCAGAGGCUGAAAAACCCUGAAGUAGGUACUAGAUAGUGGAGCCUUGCAGGUUUACUUGUUAAGUGCUCUGAUCUUUAUCACAUUUCGUACUAUUGAAGCCUCUUGUGAUGAAUGCAGUGAGAAUAUUUGUACAAAAUGAACAAACAGCACUUAACCAAAGAGAUGUAAGCAUUCACAUCUGCAGCAAGCUCUCUUCAUAUGCAAUUGUGGUCUUUGUAAAGAUGAUUACAGAUCAAUAAGUUCUUUUCAAUGAAAAGUUCAUUAUUUUAUUAUG